UACGGAGGGGUUAGCGUUGCUCGGAAUUACUGGGCGUAAAGCGCACGUAGGCGGAUUGGAAAGUUGGGGUGAAUCCCGGGCUCAACCCGGAACUGCCUCCAAACUUCCAGUCUGGAGUUCGAGAGAGGUGAGUGGAAUCCCGAGUGUAGAGGUGAAAUUCGUAGAUAUUCGGAGGAACACCAGUGGCGAAGGCGGCUCACUGGCUCGAUACUGACGCUGAGGUGCGAAAGUGUGGGGAGCGAACAGGAUUAGAUACCCGCGUAGU
rnacentral:rRNA from 1 species